GACAUCCACUGCAAUUAUUGCAAGAAACUUGAGCAUACAAACAUUCAUGAAACAAACAUCCAAAGAAUCCUGAUGGGACCAACAAAGCACCUCCUUGAUGAUUCUCUGAUACCAUAUCUUUCCAUUCUUCAUGAUAGACAACUACUCUCGUAAAGAUUGGCACAUCACAUGAUAAUCCUAAAGUUUCAAGUGCUCCAACUACAGACUCUUGCAAUUAAAGAUUAUUCACCACAGAUUAGUUAUAACAAAGUCUUCAUUUGGAUUUACUACUUCUACUAUUUCUCCUUCUACUACUUCUUCAGGUAUUAUCAUGCUAUUGCCAUCGAAUCUGGGCUAAGGUCAGAGUUCAGCUCGGAUGAUCCUAAGGUUGGCUGGAGAUGAACUAGGUAGGCUGGCCGAGAUGUAGAGGGCGGAUCUCCUCUAAAUGUGGCCUGCAAAAGGUCUGCUUGCUGGAGAGCUUUCGAUGGGGCCCCUCUGAUGCCUAAAUUAGAAUAGAGAGAUGCAACAGUAUGGAAGAGAGAGAAUUUCAGGAGAGUAUUGUUUCUAUGAGCUUGAACGAUCCU
rnacentral:lncRNA from 1 species